UAAUGAAAAGCGUAUUCGUCCGGUUAGUUAGUUUCUUAUCGACUGAUCACAACUUAUCUGUUAACUGAGCUGUUAUAAAAAUGGUCAGGUUUAUUUGUGCAAUUAUUAUUGUAGUUCUUUGUAUAGUGGCGUCGACAGGCUCAGUUCCACAGCGCAACAGAACGAGAUGCACUUCAAAUUUCCAGUGUCCUGAUCACUUGGAGUGCAAAAAUCGGCAAUGCGUAGAUCCUUGCAUUGAUAAGGUCUGUGCAACAAAUGCCGAUUGCACGGCAACAAACCAUCGAGCAAUUUGUAGUUGUCUUAAGGGUUAUAGUGGUCACCCGCUUACCGAAUGUAAAAAAGAGGAGGUGUGUACAUAUAAUCCCGACUGUUCUGCACAUAUGGCAUGCAGACAUGGUAAAUGUGUCGACCCGUGUGCUACUGAAUGCAACAAUACAAGCGGAUGUUAUGUUAUAAGCCAUGUUCCGUUUUGCAAUCAAUAGCGUUUUUUGUAAAUUGUAAAUAUAUAAAAAUUGAA